UUUUGACUGUGCAAAGGUAGCAUAAUCAUUAGUUUUUUAAUUGAAAGCUGGAAUGAAAGGUUUGAUGAGAAAAUAACUGUCUCUAUAUAAAUGGUUUAUAAUUUCAUUUUUAAGUCAAAAAGCUUAAAUUUUUUAUAAAGACGAGAAGACCCUAUAGAGUUUUAUAUUUAUCUAAUUUUGGUGGCUGAGGAUUUUAUUCUUUUGAUUUUAGUUGAGUAUUUCGUUGGGGCGAUGGAAAAAUUUAAUUAACUUUUUUUUGUUUUUAACAUUAAUUUAUGAAUAUUUGAUCCUUAUUUUUGGAUUAUAAGAUUAAAUUACCUUAGGGAUAACAGCGUAAUUUUUUUUGGAGAGUUCUUAUCGAUAAAAAAGUUUGCGACCUCGAUGUUGGAUUAAAAUUAAAUUUUGGUGUAGAAGCUAGAAUUUUAGGUCUGUUCGACCUUUGAAAUUUU
rnacentral:rRNA from 1 species